rnacentral:rRNA from 1 species
UGCUUUUGAAACUACUAAGCUUGAGUACUGUAGGGGGUAGCGGAACUCCUAGUGUAGGGGUGAAAUUCGUAGAUAUUAGGAGGAACACCGGAGGCGAAAGCGGUUAUCUGGACAGUCACUGACGCUGUUGCACGAAAGCGUGGGGAGCAAACAGGAUUAGAUACCCUGGUAGUCCACGCAGUAAACGAUGAGUGCUAGAUGUUGGGGUUUAAGUCUCAGUGUCGCAGCUAACGCAUUAAGCACUCCGCCUGGGGAGUACGGUCGCAAGAUUAAAACUCAAAGGAAUUGACGGGGACCCGCACAAGCGGUGGAACAUGUGGUUUAAUUCGAUGCUACGCGAAAAACCUUACCAGGCCUUGACAUGGUGAUCAUAUGGCUGCGAAAGC